GACGAACGCUGGCGGCGUGCUUAACACAUGCAAGUCGAACGGAAAGGCCCUGCUUGCCGGGUACUCGAGUGGCGAACGGGUGAGUAACACGUGGGUGAUCUGCCCUGCACUUCGGGAUAAGCUUGGGAAACUGGGUCUAAUACCGGAUAGGAGCCAUCUUUAGUGUGGUGGUUGGAAAGUUUUUUCGGUGUAGGAUGAGCUCGCGGCCUAUCAGCUUGUUGGUGGGGUAAUGGCCUACCAAGGCGGCGACGGGUAGCCGGCCUGAGAGGGUGUACGGCCACAUUGGGACUGAGAUACGGCCCAGACUCCUACGGGAGGCAGCAGUGGGGAAUAUUGCACAAUGGGCGCAAGCCUGAUGCAGCGACGCCGCGUGGGGGAUGAAGGCCUUCGGGUUGUAAACUCCUUUCGCUAGGGACGAAGCUUUUUUGCGACGGUACCUAGAUAAGAAGCACCGGCUAACUACGUG
rnacentral:rRNA from 1 species